rnacentral:rRNA from 1 species
AUUGAACGCUGGCGGCAGGCCUAACACAUGCAAGUCGAACGAGUGGCGGACGGGUGAGUACUGUCUGGGAAACUGCCCGAUGGAGGGGGAUAACUACUGGAAACGGUAGCUAAUACCGCAUACAAUCGGAUGUGCCCAGAUGGGAUUAGCUAGUCGGUGUGGUAACGCCGCACCAAGGCGACAAGCCCUAGCUGGCCUGAGAGGAUGACCAACCAGACUGGAACUGAGCAACGGUCCAGACGCCUACUGGAGGCAGCAGUGGGGAAUAUUGCACAAUGGGCGGAAGCCUGAUGCAGCGAUGCCGAGUGUAUGAAGAAGGCCUUCGGGUUGUAAAGUACUUUCAGCGAGGAGGCGUUACUCGCAGAAGAAGCACCGGCUAACUCCGUGCCAGCAGCCGCGGUAAUAC